GUAUGGUGCAAGCGUUAUCCGGAUUUACUGGGUGUAAAGGGAGCGCAGGCGGUACGACAAGUCUGAUGUGAAAUCCCGGGGCUCAACCCCGGUACUGCAUUGGAAACUGUCGGACUAGAGUGUCGGAGGGGUAAGUGGAAUUCCUAGUGUAGCGGUGAAAUGCGUAGAUAUUAGGAGGAACACCAGUGGCGAAGGCGGCUUACUGGACGAUUACUGACGCUGAGGCUCGAAAGCGUGGGGAGCAAACAGGAUUAGAUACCCUGGUAGUCCACGCCGUAAACGAUGGAUGCCCGCUGUUGGUCUGAAUAGGUCAGCGGCCAAGCGAAAGCAUUAAGCAUCCCACCUGGGGAGUACGCCGGCAACGGUGAAACUCAAAGGAAUUGACGG
rnacentral:rRNA from 1 species